rnacentral:rRNA from 1 species
CGUAGGGGGCAAGCGUUGUCCGGAAUUAUUGGGCGUAAAGCGCGCGCAGGCGGUCUCUUAAGUCUGAUGUGAAAGCCCACGGCUCAACCGUGGAGGGUCAUUGGAAACUGGGAGACUUGAGUGUAGGAGAGGAAAGCGGAAUUCCACGUGUAGCGGUGAAAUGCGUAGAGAUGUGGAGGAACACCAGUGGCGAAGGCGGCUUUCUGGCCUAUAACUGACGCUGAGGCGCGAAAGCGUGGGGAGCAAACAGG